AAACAGUACCUGCCCCUUAGGUGUGCUAGGGAAUAAAUGAAAUGCCUGGGACAUCAUCGUUAAGUGGCAUCUGAUGCAUAAGCAGUGCCCUAGGAAUGGGGUUGCCUGCCUUGGUCUCUAAAGGAUGGGUUCAAAAGGCAAGAGCAGCACACAAGAAGAUAGCUUCAAGCAGGAGAUAAAGCUUGGCCCAGGGCCCAAAGGGGAUACGACCCUUCAGGUUGGCCCUGACCUCUGGGUUGGAUUACCAGUGACACAAUGAACAUUUCAUUAUGAGGCCAUCCCUUGAGGUAGUUGCAUUGCAACAGCUCUCCCUACCCAGUGCUGCAUUUCCAAUGCUUUCUCUGUUCAGGCUGCUGGGUGACAUUUCUAUGUCUCCCCUUCAACGGUGAAAUAUUUCAGUGGUUGUCCAUCACCUAUGGGAGUCUGACAUGGCAUAAUCAGGCCACUGGGGCAUUGCUAGUUGUGCUGUCCCUGAUAUUCACCGUGGUAGGCAGUUUCUGAAAUGGCUCCCAGUGAUCUCCAACUCCUGAAAUUCACACUCUGUGUAAUCCCCUCCCUUUGAGUGUGGGCUAGACCUGGUGGCCAAAGUGAUAGGAUUUCACUUCUGAUGUUAGGCUAUGAAAGGCUGUGACCGCUCUCUCUGCCUCUUCUCUCUCACUUGAAGCAAACUGACAUGCUGAAAGCUGCCCUAUGGAGAGGCUCAUGUGGCAAGGAACAGAGGGUGGCUUCUGGCCAACACCCAGUGAGGAACUCAGGCCCUCAGUCAAACAGCCUGCAAGGAACUGAACCCUGCCAAUAACCCUGGGUUGAAAGCUUCCCUUUGGAGAAGAACUGAGGGCUGUCUCUGGUCAAUAGCACUGAGGAACUGAAUCCAGCAAACAAUUAUGUGAAGAAACUUGGA
rnacentral:lncRNA from 1 species